rnacentral:miRNA from 1 species
UACCCUGGGUGCCAGAGGUUUUUCCACGCUCGCAACGCAAAAAAAUAUAGUGCUCGCCCGUCCGUCACUAUAUUUUUUUGCGUUGCGAGCGUGGAAAAACC